CAACAGUCACACAAGAACACAAGCUGAAAGUUGUCGACAACUUGUCGUCACGUUGGUCGCAACUCAUGUACACCAACUUUCUGAUUAGAAACUCUAGCUAUCAGAUUGCAAAUCAUUUUGAACCACUUCUUUGAGUAAGGGCUGGCUCGCAGGGUCAACCGUUUUCCAGAUUUUUUCUUUUUGUAAUUGAUUUGUUGGAAUAAAAAAACCGAAAAUUGUUAAUUCUCAAACUAACUUCGGAUCAUUAAAUGGUCACUUGUAAAUUUGAUAAAAUAUUUUAAUUUUUUAAUUUUAUACUAAUCAAUUAUUUUUGUAUUCAAUGUGAAAAUUUUUUUUUUUUUUGUAGGCUCUUGUAUCAUUAGUACUAUUGAUAUAUUAUGCUAUUAUAUUAUACCCUAUUGUCAAAAAAUUAAAAAAUAUCAAACCAUAUUUAAUUUGAAUUUUGAAUAGUUAAGAAAAUCUGGUUAUAAAUUGUUUUGCGGAAUAUCUAAAUAGAGUAAAAAACGAAUAUUUAUUCCAAUUUUUUACUUAAAUUUUAAAUCUUAUUUUGAUCUACAUAUCAAGUUCAGUCCAGAAUUACUUUAAGAUUGUAUUUUUUUUUAUUUUUUAAAAAUGAAAAAUAUGAAAAUAAACAUUAAUCGUUGUAUUGAGGACUACUGUAAGUUAUGGAGGUUCUUCGAUUUUAUAGCGAAAGUACCUGAACACAAGAUCAAUUAUACUUCGAUCAUUCGAUAUGUGGGAUUGAUUUACAAUUGAAUGAUGUAGUAGUAGUUGGUGGGAAUAUAAUGAGUGGGCAGUCAGGAAUUAGCUUAUGCGAUUUCAUUAUAUAAGAGAUGAAAAUGAAAUAAAACGUCCGUGUCUUAAUUUUUCUAUCUAUUUUCCACUGUAUUGUAACAAUAAUAAAACAUAACAAAAUAAAAAUGUCUAUUGAUAUUUUAGAUUAGUAGUUUUAAGUUAUUUAAAAACAGAAAAAAAAAAAAAAUUUUAUUUUUAUUAAUUUUCAAUGCUUUCUGAAAGAUAAAAAAUUGAUUUUUUUUCGUGUCAUUGUUAUGUUUUAUAAUAUACGUUAAUAUAGAAUA